UCACACGUAGGAAAAGGCUGGCACUCUG
rnacentral:piRNA from 1 species